rnacentral:rRNA from 1 species
GAACGGGUGAGUACACGUGGGUGAUCUGCCCUGCACUUUGGGAUAAGCCUGGGAAACUGGGUCUAAUACCGAAUAUGACCAUGCGCCUCCUGGUGUGUGGUGGAAAGCUUUUGCGGUGUGGGAUGGGCCCGCGGCNUNNNAGCUUGUUGGUGGGGUAAUGGCCUACCAAGGCGACGACGGGUAGCCGGCCUGAGAGGGUGACCGGCCACACUGGGACUGAGAUACGGCCCAGACUCCUACGGGAGGCAGCAGUGGGGAAUAUUGCACAAUGGGCGCAAGCCUGAUGCAGCGACGCCGCGUGAGGGAUGACGGCCUUCGGGUUGUAAACCUCUUUCAGCACAGACGAAGCGCAAGUGACGGUAUGUGCAGAAGAAGGACCGGCCAACUACGUGCCAGCAGCCGCGGUAAUACGUAGGGUCCGAGCGUUGUCCGGAAUUACUGGGCGUAAAGAGCUCGUAGGUGGUUUGUCGCGUUGUUCGUGAAAACUCACAGCUUAACUGUGGGCGUGCGGGCGAUACGGGCAGACUUGAGUACUGCAGGGGAGACUGGAAUUCCUGGUGUAGCGGUGGAAUGCGCAGAUAUCAGGAGGAACACCGGUGGCGAAGGCGGGUCUCUGGGCAGUAACUGACGCUGAGGAGCGAAAGCGUGGGGAGCGAACAGGAUUAGAUACCCUGGUAGUCCACGCCGUAAACGGUGGGUACUAGGUGUGGGUUUCCUUCCUUGGGAUCCGUGCCGUAGCUAACGCAUUAAGUACCCCGCCUGGGGAGUACGGCCGCAAGGCUAAAACUCAAAGAAAUUGACGGGGGCCCGCACAAGCGGCGGAGCAUGUGGAUUAAUUCGAUGNCACGCGAAGAACCUUACCUGGGUUUG